GACGUCGGUAAUGCAGUUGCUUAAGCGCGCGCCCCUGGAAAGAGUGAAAUGCGGGUUCGAGACCCGCCCCAUGUCA